rnacentral:rRNA from 1 species
UACAGAGGGUGCAAGCGUUGUUCGGAAUUAUUGGGCGUAAAGCGCGUGUAGGCGGCUUUGCAAAUCGGGUGUGAAAUCCCUCAGCUCAACUGAGGAAGUGCGCCCGAAACUGCAGAGCUUGAGUACCGGAGAGGAUGGCGGAAUUCCCCAAGUAGAGGUGAAAUUCGUAGAUAUGGGGAGGAACACCGGUGGCGAAGGCGGCCAUCUGGACGGAUACUGACGCUGAGACGCGAAAGCGUGGGUAGCAAACAGG